rnacentral:ncRNA from 1 species
CCGGCAAGCCUCGACGAGUAGGAUGGCGCGGCGGUGUGCGUCGAAGGGCAGGUCGCGAGACCGCCUGGAGCCGCCGUCGGUGCAGAUCAUAGGUGGUAGUAGCAAAUACUCGAGAGGGGCCCUCGGGGGCUGCCGUGGAGAAGGGUUUCUUGUGAACAGCCGUUGUCCAAGAGUCAGUCGAUCCUAAGCCCGGGGAGAGAUCCUCGUACCACGGGCGAAGGCGUUUUCGAAUCGCCCUUGGGGCGAGAGGGAAUCCGGUUCGUAUUCCGGAACCCGACGCGGAACCGCUCCCUAGUGUUCGGGGCUCUUUUGUCUCGUCUGGGUAACCAGAAUGAACUCGAAGAAGCCGCCGGGGGAUCUGGGUAGAGUUCUCUUUUCUCUGUGAGCGUUGUACGUCCCUGGAAUCCUCUAGCCGGGCGAUAGGGACGCGAGCGCGAAGAGCACCGCUCGUUGCGGCGGUGUCCGUGAUCCCCACGCGGACCUUGAAAAUUCGAGAGAGGGCCACGCGGAGUCUUCGCGUCGGUUCGUACCGAUAUCCGCAGCAGGUCUCCGAGGUGAGCAGCCUCUAGCCGCAUAGAAUAAUGUAGGUAAGGGAAGUCGGCAAAACCGAUCCGUAACUUCGGGAUAAGGAUUGGCUCUGAGGAGCGUGGCUGCCGGGUUCGGGUCGUCGUAGAAGCGUAGGCGUUUUUGGCGACACCCCGGCCGUCGCCCGUGCGCCCGGUCUUCGGAACGGGAGCCUCGAGGCGGCCGCGGGCCCGUCGCCGUCCGCCGACCGUGGAACCACCGAGCUUCGGUCGCUGGCCGCGUCGCGGCCGGCCGACCGCACAUUGGUGUCGGUUCGCCGUCACCGGGCGGUCCGGCCGCCG